UACGUAGGUGGCAAGCGAUGUCCGGAUUUACUGGGCGUAAAGAGCGCGCAGGCGGUCGGUCAAGUCGAGUGUGAAAGCCCCAGGCUCAACUGGGGAGGGUCACUCGAAACUGAUCGACUCGAAGGCGGGAGAGGGAAGCGGAAUUCACGGUGUAGUGGUGAAAUGCGUAGAUAUCGGGAGGAACACCAGUGGCGAAGGCUGCUUCCUGGCCCGUUCUUGACGCUGAGGCGCGAAAGCUAGGGGAGCGAACGGU
rnacentral:rRNA from 1 species